UAAUGCCGGAUGCUCCGACUCCUCGCAUGGGGUGUCGGGAAAGAUUUCAUCGGUAUGGGAUGGGGUCGCGUCCUAUCAGGUAGUCGGCGGGGUAACGGCCCACCGAGCCUACGACGGGUAGCCGGCCUGAGAGGGCGACCGGCCACAUUGGGACUGAGAUACGGCCCAGACUCCUACGGGAGGCAGCAGUGGGGAAUAUUGCACAAUGGGCGCAAGCCUGAUGCAGCGACGCCGCGUGCGGGAUGACGGCCUUCGGGUUGUAAACCGCUUUUGAUCGGGAGCAAGCCUUCGGGUGAGUGUACCUUUCGAAUAAGCACCGGCUAACUACGUGCCAGCAGCCGCGGUAAUACGUAGGGUGCAAGCGUUAUCCGGAAUUAUUGGGCGUAAAGGGCUCGUAGGCGGUUCGUCGCGUCCGGUGUGAAAGUCCAUCGCUUAACGGUGGAUCUGCGCCGGGUACGGGCGGGCUGGAGUGCGGUAGGGGAGACUGGAAUUCCCGGUGUAACGGUGGAAUGUGUAGAUAUCG
rnacentral:rRNA from 1 species